rnacentral:lncRNA from 1 species
GUCCUCACCCAGGUGGUUCUCACCACCAGCCUGUGGCUUGGGCUCCAUCUGCGAAAAUCAAACCUAACAGAAAGGGCUGAGAUGCAGCAGCAACUCAGGGAGCGAACUGACAGGUUUCCGUUUCCUCCAGAUCAUUGCUAUCUUCUCUAAAAUCUGAUUUUCUGCCUCCCAAAUCCUGUUUUCAAAUUUUUCAAAUGACUGCUUGUCCAGAAAGAUGAUGACCGAAACUCUAUGAACUAGGAGCCCCGUUUUAAUGGGUAUGGCUCCAAACGACAUCCCACAAAAGAAAAGAGAAAUAAAAUAAAAGGAGGUAUUUCGAUCAAACCUGGUCAAAAUAUACCAAUCCAUACACCACUACCACCACCCCUUUCUAAAUGGAGCAUUAUUUUCCUGGUCUCAGCCUCGACAUAUUAGUAUCACUGCCUUUAACAACUGGGUUUGAUUUUCUUACAGUGCAGCUGACUGACAAGAAAGAGGUGAGGAGUGAACGCUGCAAUUUGAGAACCUCUUUGGUCAGCUCUUGGAAAAGAACGAACUCUCUCCUGUUGAAACGAGCUCAAGGUUUUUCAAGAAGCCAGCAUGAGCAACUUGGAUUCCGAAACCGAGGCAGAAGUUGGAGCGUCAGAGAGGACCAGAGGGGGUCUAUCAUCUCCUAUGGAUUUAACUGAAAUGGGACCAGUACAGCAGCCAGCGAGCGUGCGGGAGAGGGCGUGAGACUUUGCAGCUCACCAGAUACCCACGUUGAAGGGGAGGUUGCAAGUCCUUUUCUUUCUCUCAUCAGGCAAGUGGAGACGGCUCCAGCCAAGGAGUCUUCUUUCUGUUUACGGAGUCGCGUGGUGGUGGGGAAGGCUGAACUCUUGGAUGUGAAAUUGUUCUCUUCUGACAUGUAGGAAAGAGACUCUCUUCUGAGAGCCCACAAAUAUUUGUCAGUUAUUUUUCUCUUGGAGAAAUGUUUUUCUCAAAUCUGUGAUACUAAAGACCGUCGUGGGCAUUUCAGCUUCUGUGGCCUGUGAAAGUUGACUGCAUCCCAGGGCUGCUCCAAAGGGGUUAAUUGCAUCUAAGCAUUGGAAAGUGAUUAUCUAAUUAAACUUUGAAAUGGAA